rnacentral:lncRNA from 1 species
CUCUAAAUUCAAUAGCAGCUUUAUCAUAAGCUCGAGCUGCAUCCUCUGCUGUAUUAAAAGUCCCAAGCCAUACUCUAGCUGCCCUUCUUGGAUCUCUAAUUUCCGCAGCCCAUUUUCCCCACGGUCUUUGUCUCACUCCUCUGUAAUUCUUCUUCUUUUUCUUUACAAUAAUAUUUGUCUUCUUGUUAUCAUCAUCAGCAGCAUGCAGCCCAUUUCCCCCACGGUCUUUGUCUCACUCCUCUGUAAUUCUUCUUCUUUUUCUUUACAAUAAUAUUUGUUUUCUUGUUAUCAACAGCAGCAGCAACUGAGGCUCCAAAAUAGUUACAACCUAAACACCCUUUUAUUUUGCAGAAUUGACAUGGCUCUGGUUCUGUUGGAACACGAAACAGAGGUGGCAAACUUGACAUGCACGUAGAAG